AGAGAUUCCCCCAGCGGAGCUGACAGCCCAUCAGCCAGAGAGGAGUGUGUUUGAGUGCUGGCCCUCACAGAGGAAUUGGGAUGUCCUUCAACAUGGUGCGCUGAGAAUGAUUUCUGGGUCGCAAGUCGGAGGAUCGAGGAGUCGAGGAGAACUGUCAGCUGAUGGAAAAGGCAGAGACGGAGGCUCAACGAGCGCCCGCGUGCACAUAAU